GGGAGCGAGCGGCUCCUGUCAGGGAGGGGGCUGCGUCAGUUAGAGCCAUUGGGGAACGGCUCCUGUGGGGGAGGAAGAACGAACAGGGCUGCCUCCCACAUUUAUUGCAGCAGAAAGCACCAUGGGAUAUGCCCCCAGAAGUCCCAGUGGCACGCACGGUGGAGCUCAGCACCGGGGGGACAGAGUAAUUUGGUGAUGUCUAAACAAAAUCCUGGCUGCUGAAGCAUCUUCCCACCCUGGAGUGAACCCAGCUGCCAUCUUAGCUAGGGAUUGCUCAUAGGGCCAUAACUGUAGCCCUCGUGACUUUCUGUGUCCUCUAGGCUAUUUAAUGAGAAAAAGACUUUGUUCUGAUUGUCAAUAAAAACAAAUAAACCUAAA